UGGGGAAUAUUGCACAAUGGGCGCAAGCCUGAUGCAGCCAUGCCGCGUGUAUGAAGAAGGCCUUCGGGUUGUAAAGUACUUUCAGCGAGGAGGAAGGCGUUGUGGUUAAUAACCGCAGCGAUUGACGUUACUCGCAGAAGAAGCACCGGCUAACUCCGUGCCAGCAGCCGCGGUAAUACGGAGGGUGCAAGCGUUAAUCGGAAUUACUGGGCGUAAAGCGCACGCAGGCGGUCUGUCAAGUCGGAUGUGAAAUCCCCGGGCUCAACCCGGGAACUGCAUCCGAAACUGGCAGGCUAGAGUCUUGUAGAGGGGGGUAGAAUUCCAGGUGUAGCGGUGAAAUGCGUAGAGAUCUGGAGGAAUACCGGUGGCGAAGGCGGCCCCCUGGACAAAGACUGACGCUCAGGUGCGAAAGCGUGGGGAGCAAACA
rnacentral:rRNA from 1 species